AAUCAACGCUGGCGGCGUGCCUCAGACAUGCAAGUCGAACGAUUAAAGCUCUCUUCGGAGAGUGUAUAGAGUGGCGCACGGGUGAGUAACACGUAAGUAAUCUACCUUUGAGUGGGGACUAACCCGGGGAACCCGAGCUAAUACCGCAUAAUGCAGCGGCACCGCAAGGUGACAGUUGUUAAAGGAGCAAUCCGCUUAAAGAGGAGCUUGCGGCAGAUUAGCAGUUGGUAAGGUAAUGGCUUACCAAGGCUUCGAUCUGUAUCCGGCCUGAGAGGGCGGUCGGACACACUGACACUGAAUAACGGGUCAGACUCCUACGGGAGGCAGCAGUCGGGAAUUUUGGGCAAUGGGCGAAAGCCUGACCCAGCAACGCCGCGUGAAGGAUGAAGUAUUUCGGUAUGUAAACUUCGAAAGAAUGGGAAGAAUCAAUGACGGUACCAUUUAUAAGGUCCGGCUAACUACGUGCCAGCAGCCGCAGUAAGACCUAAGACUGCCAAGGCAC
rnacentral:rRNA from 1 species